CGCUGCUGCGCCGACGACCGGCGCACGGGUGCGCAACGCGUAUGGAACCUGCCCCCGUCCGGGGAACAGCCCGGAGAAAUCUGGAUUAAUGCCCCAUGGCGCCAUGGGCCCGCAUGGGCCGAUGGCCAAAGGUUUAUCGGACGGGGAUGGCCAUGCGCACCAUUAGCUUGUUGGUGGGGCAACGGCCCACCAAGGCGACGAUGGUUAGGGGCCCUGAGAGGGGGAUCCCCCACACUGGUACUGAGACACGGACCAGACUCCUACGGGAGGCAGCAGUGAGGAAUAUUGGACAAUAGGCGGGAGCCUGAUCCAGCCAUGCCGCGUGCAGGACGACGGCCCUACGGGUCUUAAACUGCUUUUGUACGGGAAGAGCCACUGGCACGUGUGCCAGUCCGACGGUACCGUACGAAUAAGGACCGGCUAACUCCGUGCCAGCAGCCGCGGUAAUACGGAGGGUCCGAGCGUUAUCCGGAAUCAUUGGGUUUAAAGGGUCCGUAGGCUGGGGCGUAAGUCAGGGGCGAAAUACCAUGGCUCAACCAUGGGGAGAUCCUUGAUACUGCGUUCCUUGAGUAUCGGCGGGGCCGCCGGAACAUGUGGUGUAGCGGUGAAAUGCAUAGAUAUCACAUAGAACACCGAUCGCGAAGGCAGGUGGCCAGCCGAUCACUGACGCUGAUGGACGAAAGCGUGGCCAGCGAACGGGAUUAGAUACCCCGGUAGUCCACGCCGUAAACGAUGGACGCUAGCUGUCGGGGGCACGUCCCCCGGUGGCCAAGCGAAAGUGAUAAGUGUCCCACCUGGGGAGUACGUCCGCAAGGAUGAAACUCAAAGGAAUUGACAGGGGCCCGCACAAGCGGUGGAGCAUGUGGUUUAAUUCGAUGAUACGCGAGGAACCUUACCAGGGCUUAAAUGUGCGCCGACAGGUCCCGAGACG
rnacentral:rRNA from 1 species